rnacentral:rRNA from 1 species
GGCGAACGGGUGAGUAACGCGUGAGUAACCUGCCCUUCACUCUGGGAUAACAGUUGGAAACGGCUGCUAAUGCCGGAUAUUCAGCUCCUGUCGCAUGGUGGGGGUUGGAAAGUUUUGGUGGUGGAGGAUGGGCUCGCGUCCUAUCAGCUUGUUGGUGGGGUGAUGGCCAACCAAGGCGUCGACGGGUAGCCGGCCUGAGAGGGCGACCGGCCACAUUGGGACUGAGAUACGGCCCAAACUCCUACGGGAGGCAGCAGUGGGGAAUAUUGCACAAUGGGCGGAAGCCUGAUGCAGCAACGCCGCGUGCGGGAUGACGGCCUUCGGGUCGUAAACCGCUUUCAGCAGGGACGAAGCGCAAGUGACGGUACCUGCAGAAGAAGCACCGGCUAACUACGUGCCAGCAGCCGCGGUGAUACGUAGGGUGCGAGCGUUGUCCGGAUUUAUUGGGCGUAAAGAGCUUGUAGGCGGUUGGUUGCGUCGAAAGUGCAAACUCAGGGCUUAACUCUGAGCCUGCUUUCGAUACGGGCUGACUGGAGGAAGGUAGGGGAGAAUGGAAUUCCCGGUGGAGCGGUGGAAUGCGCAGAUAUCGGGAGGAACACCAGUGGCGAAGGCGGUUCUCUGGACCUUUCCUGACGCUGAGAAGCGAAAGCGUGGGGAGCAAACAGGCUUAGAUACCCUGGUAGUCCACGCUGUAAACGGUGGGUACUAGGUGUGGGGGACAUUCCACGUUCUCUGUGCCGUAGCUAACGCAUUAAGUACCCCGCCUGGGGAGUACGGGCCGCAAGGCUAAAACUCAAAGGAAUUGA